AUUCCUACGGGAGGCAGCAGUGGGGAAUUUUCCGCAAUGGGCGAAAGCCUGACGGAGCAAUACCGCGUGAGGGAAGAAGGCCUAUGGGUUGUAAACCUCUUUUUUCAGGGAGGAACAAAAUGACGUGUACCUGAAGAAUAAGCAUCGGCUAACUCCGUGCCAGCAGCCGCGGUAAGACGGAGGAUGCAAGUGUUAUCCGGAAUUACUGGGCGUAAAGCGUCUGUAGGUGGUUUAAUAAGUCAACUGUUAAAUCUUGAGGCUUAACUUCAAAACAGCAGUCGAAACUAUUAGACUAGAGUAUAGUAGAGGUAAAGGGAAUUUCCAGUGGAGCGGUGAAAUGCGUAGAUAUUGGAAAGAACACCGAUGGCGAAAGCACUUUACUGGGCUAUUACUAACACUCAGAGACGAAAGCUAGGGUAGCAAAUGGGAUUAGAUACCCCAGUAGUCCUAGCUGUAAACAAUGGAUACUAGAUGUUGAACAGAUCGACCUGUGCAGUAUUAAAGCUAACGCGUUAAGUAUCCCGCCUGGGAAGUAUGCUCGCAAGAGUGAAACUCAAAGGAAUUGACGGAAU
rnacentral:rRNA from 1 species